GUAAGAAACCAGAGCCCUCAGGGCUCCUCCCAGCUGCAGCAGCCGGUGAGUCCAUUCCAACAGUUUUCCCAUGCAGCCAGCCUUCUCGUGAGCAACUGCCAUCGCAGCCCUCUGUCCUAGCUCACAUGGGUGGAUGCUGUGUUCAGGGGAUAAUGAGGGAUCAUCAUGGCUGCCUUUUUUUAGUUCUCAAGCUCAACUGAAAACCGCCACCGUAGUGCUGUUAAGGUAGCAGCCUGGGUGUUCUGGGGCCUGCUGAGUGGCGGGGACAGGCCACAGUCACACUGGCCUGUUGUGGUGCUGUGUUGUCAGUAACCAAGGCCGGGAGGCUUAGCGCCUCGCGUCUUCUAUCAGCUGGAGACUAUUCGUGUCUCUCAGUUCUCAGAGGACUGUGCCUGAAGCAGCAUUAUGUUCCCCAAAGACACAUGACAGGUGGCUCCAUUCAGUGCCCAGGACAGACACAAGACCGGCUCCGUCCCUGCUCAGACAGCUGUAGGGGACAGCGAGUCCCUUCCUUCCUUGGCUGGAGGAGACUUCACCCAGGCCCUGCCUCUCGUGCAUCUCAGGUCUGCUUUUAUGAUCCCAGACAGCUCCGUUAGCGAUCUCCUCCUGGCUCUGGCCACAGGGACAUAAUCUUCAGCUCUGCCACUAAUUAAAACACCACCAAGGCAAAGUCACCUAACACCUCAAGCCCAAUCCUCCUUGAGUGGAAAAUCAAGAUGACAGAACUUCAUAGGGCCUUUAACAAUAUCAAGGCCCUGGUGAUGACACAGAGCCUAUUUGCAUAAGCCAGCACAGGAGUUAAGGCCAACCGAUUAGCAUUCUCAAUGCAACGCAACCUUAAUGCCUCCUCACCACACAACAUGCCACAUUCACUAGGCUCUGGGGGUGAGGACAUGAACAUCUUUGCAGCUGAAGGAGGAAUUAUUCUGUCCACCUCAGACAACCAUGGCAAAAAGUCUACCACUCUAGAGAAGUGAUCUCCAACAUUUUGGCACCAGGAACCAGCUUCAUGGAUGGCACCAGGAUGGUUUGGGAGGAUUCAAGCACACUGCAUAUAGAUACUCUCCCUUGACUUCAAUCGAACAUAUGGAGAUGUGAAGUUAUCUCAGACAUAAUUCUAAGAUCACCGUUCCUUGUGACUCAAGAAGUUGAUCCUCUUCUAGCAAAGACAGAGUCGAUUCACCUGGCUUCUUCACACAUGGGACCCCUGCUCUAGAAGGAGGACAGAAGGACACACCACACUCACAAGGCGAUGAUCAAUCAGAAGCCCUGGGUGGAGGAGCUGCCUCAGGAAGUGUGCGUGACCCCAGCCAGGCUAGUCCUGUCAUUCCUGGUACUUGGCUGGAAUUGUGAUGCUCUCCCUCUUUUUCUAGGGUCCCAGCUCUGAGGACAGUGACAAUGAGGAACACCAGUCGCUGCUUUUUGUCAAGAUUGAAAAAGCUUCCCUUGUGCUGGCAGCCAAUGCAGAGAUUCACCAGGAGUGAGACAGAAAGAGAGAUACAGAGGCCCAGGACCUCCAGCCAUCCCCACAGCCCAGAUCCACCCUGGGCUUUCCAAGCGCUUGAGCCAAUAAAUCUCCUCUGCUCUUUAUUCCUCCUAAACUAAGUUUCUUUCACCGACAGCCAAGCAUUUACUAACAUGCUCAAGAAAUACCUGUUGGGGCCAGUCACAGCUUCCCAAACCCUGGCAUGUCUUCAAGAUCCCAGGUCUAAAAGGCCCUGGUUCUAAAUCAACGAUCGGGACCCCACAAGUUCCUGAUAGGUUUAAUACACUCUCACAGAUCUCCAAAUGCCUUUGGGCUCACUUGGCUUACCUCAGCCCAAAGGAUACACAAUGUCUGUAAGUUCAUUUUUCUGCAUGGAAAAUGCCUUGUACAACCAGAGCACCUGGCCAAUUACUCCAAAAUGACUGCAGACCUCCAUAAGGAAGGCUCCUGGAGGACAUCCAUGAGGAAACCAGUGGCAACAGGAGGAUGAGCGCCUGAGGGUGAAGAAAGAGCUUGCCUUCUUCAAGCCCAGCCGGAAGAGAACGAAGGUGACUUUAUUCUGAGAAAAAGCCCCUUAGCCAACAUUUGUGUCUCUUCCAAAAUUCAUGAUGGAGCUGAACCCGCAGUGCAGAAGUGUCAAGAGGCGGGGCCUUCAGGAGACCAUUG
ensembl:lncRNA